UACGGAGGGUGCAAGCGUUAAUCGGAAUUACUGGGCGUAAAGCGCGCGUAGGUGGCUUGAUAAGCCGGGUGUGAAAGCCCCGGGCUCAACCUGGGAACGGCAUUCGGAACUGUCAGGCUAGAGUGCAGGAGAGGCAGGUAGAAUUCCGGGUGUAGCGGUGAAAUGCGUAGAGAUUGGGAGGAAUACCAGUGGCGAAGGCGGCUCUCUGGACUGAUACUGACACUGAGGUGCGAAAGCGUGGGGAGCAAACAGG
rnacentral:misc_RNA from 1 species